CGCGUGUGUGACAGCGACACACGGCAUGAAGCUACAGCCCAGCGGAGCAGCAGCGCCAGGGUGCUGUCACCUCGGUAAAAGCGGAAAGGGAGGUGAGAAAUGCGGGCGCCGCGUUUAAAGGAACCCCGCUGUUGUGUUCGUCCUCACUGCCAGCUCCAGUCCUGCUGCAGCUCCGCUCACGGCUCCCAUCAGUUCUUUUAACGGCGCUGCACUGGGAAAUCACUGGGACUAUGUGAGCAUCAUGCUCGCUGUGAGAUGCCUGCUGUUCGCUGCAGCGUGUGCGCGGUUCACCGUGACAGGUCUGAGGGAAUGGGCGAGCCUGGAAGUAAAGCAGCCGCCUGCAGAGGAGCUCGUUCAGCCCAAGCGACUGCUGCAGCAGAUCCACUCCACGGAGGAGCUGCUCCACAGCCGCCUGGACACCCGGGUCAAAAACCACACAGCGGGGGUGCAGCCGGUCCAUCUGGCUCAGAGCAGCUUCCUGGUGGAGGCCUUUGGCACAUCCUUCAUCCUUGACUUGGAACUCAAUCAG
rnacentral:lncRNA from 1 species